UCGAUCCACGCUCACCGCACCA
rnacentral:siRNA from 1 species